rnacentral:tRNA from 1 species
GGGGCCGUAGCUCAGUUGGGAGAGCGCUUGAAUGGCAUUCAAGAGGUCGAGGGUUCAAAUCCCUUCGGCUCCA